GCAUUGGUGGUUCAGUGGUAGAAUUCUUGCCUGCCACGUGGAGGCCCGUGUUCGAGGCCCGGGUUCGAUUCCCGGCCACUGCA